rnacentral:rRNA from 1 species
AACGAACGCUGGCGGCAGGCCUAACACAUGCAAGUCGAACGCAUCGCAAGAUGAGUGGCGCAAGGGUGAGUAACACGUGGGAAUGUAUCCUUUGGUUCGGAAUAACGUCUGGAAACGGACGCUAAUACCGGAUGAGCCCUAUGGGGGAAAGAUUUAUCGCCGAAGGAGCAGCCCGCGUCUGAUUAGGUAGUUGGUGGGGUAAAGGCCUACCAAGCCGACGAUCAGUAGCUGGUCUGAGAGGAUGAUCAGCCACACUGGGACUGAGACACGGCCCAGACUCCUACGGGAGGCAGCAGUGGGGAAUAUUGGACAAUGGGCGCAAGCCUGAUCCAGCCAUGCCGCGUGAGUGAUGAAGGCCUUCGGGUUGUAAAGCUCUUUCGCACACGACGAUGAUGACGGUAGUGUGAGAAUAAGCACCGGCUAACUACGUGCCAGCCGCCGCAGUAACAC